UCAAACUUGGUCAUUUAGAGGAAGUAAAAGUCGUAACAAGGUCUCCGUAGGUGAACCUGCGGAGGGAUCAUUACCGAGUGAGGGCUCCGGCCCGACCUCCAACCCUUUUGUUGACCAACACCUGUUGCCUCGGGGGUGACCCGGCCUCGGCGUCGGCGCCGCCCCCGGCGGACCACACCUAACUCUGUAUUUCUGCGUCGGAGUUUGUUGCGAAUUAGUUAAAACUUUCAACAACGGAUCUCUUGGUUCUGGCAUCGAUGAAGAACGCAGC
rnacentral:misc_RNA from 1 species